rnacentral:lncRNA from 1 species
CUCAGAAAGAGAGUGAACAACUAGAAGAUGUGGAAGAACCAGUUUGGCUCUGGAGUCAAGAAUUCUCAAAACAGCUUUCUGAACCUGAAUCGCACGCAGUAAAGCUGGUGUUCUCCUGAAGCCAACAUUUAUGGUAUCACCUUGCUGAUCCAGGCAAAAUGGCAAAAGUGUAGUGAACAUAAAGCCAGGGGCUGAGAUUGUGGAUGUCCUCUGUACCAAGUUUCUUAUUAUGGUAAGGGUAGAAGUUCACCAGGUCAGUAAUGUGAUUUUGUCCAAAGAGCCAUUUCUGGAGAUCUAGCCUAAACAUUGCUCCUCCAACUCUUCCCAUAAUUUGUUAACAAUUGAAUAAUUGUUCUGUUUAAAAUAGUUUGGAUGUUUUAUGUUUUCUGCAACUUUACUGUUAUCAUAACAAAGACAUAAAUAAAGAUCUAAAUAAAGUCA